UACGUAGGGGGCAGGCGUUGUCCGGAUUUAUUGGGCGUAAAGAGCGUGUAGGCGGUUAGGUAGGUCCGUUCUGAAAACUCGAGGCUCAACCUCGAGACGCGGAUGGAAACCAUCUAACUAGAGUCCGGAAGAGGAGAGUGGAAUUCCUGGUGUAGCGGUGAAAUGCGCAGAUAUCAGGAAGAACACCCGUGGCUAAGGCGGCUCUCUAGUACGGUACUGACGCUGAGACGCGAAAGCGUGGGGAGCGAACAGG
rnacentral:rRNA from 1 species